rnacentral:rRNA from 1 species
GAUGAACGCUGGCGGCGUGCCUAAUACAUGCAAGUCGAGCGAACGGACGAGAAGCUUUCUUCUCUGAUGUUAGCGGCGGACGGGUGAGUAACACGUGGAUAACCUACCUAUAAGACUGGGAUAACUUCGGGAAACCGGAGCUAAUACUGGAUAAUAUUUUGAACCGCAUGGUUCAAAAGUAAAAGACGGUCUUGCUGUCACUUAUAGAUGGAUCCGCGCUGCAUUAGCUAGUUGGUAAGGUAACGGCUUACCAAGGCAACGAUGCAUAGCCGACCUGAGAGGGUGAUCGGCCACACUGGAACUGAGACACGGUCCAGACUCCUACGGGAGGCAGCAGUAGGGAAUCUUCCGCAAUGGGCGAAAGCCUGACGGAGCAACGCCGCGUGAGUGAUGAAGGUCUUCGGAUCGUAAAACUCUGUUAUUAGGGAAGAACAUAUGUGUAAGUAACUGUGCACAUCUUGACGGUACCUAAUCAGAAAGCCACGGCUAACUACGUG